CGGGGAUAUACAUAUAAGACGAGAAGACCCCAUGGAGCUUUAAACCUGACAGCACCCGCUCAUUCUAUACCCCAUUAUUUGCCCGACCCCUGUCUGCUCAGUUUUAGGUUGGGGUGACCACGGAGUAUAAAAUAACCUCCAUGAAGAAGGGGAUAUUUCCCUUAUUAGAGAACCACACUUCCAAGAACUAAUAAAUUAAUUUUCAAUGACCCGAUACCUGAUAAUCGAUCAACGAACCAAGUUACCCUGGGGAUAACAGCGCAAUCCACCCUGAAAGCCCUUAUUAACAGGUGGGUUUACGACCUCGAUGUUGGAUCAGGGUAUCCCAGUGGUGCAGCAGCUACUGAGGGUUCGUUUGUUCAACGAUUAAAACCCU
rnacentral:rRNA from 1 species